rnacentral:rRNA from 1 species
AGUGAACGCUGGCGGUAGGCCUAACACAUGCAAGUCGAACGGCAGCACAGUAAGAGCUUGCUCUUACGGGUGGCGAGUGGCGGACGGGUGAGGAAUACAUCGGAAUCUACUUUUUCGUGGGGGCUAACGUAGGGAAACUUACGCUAAUACCGCAUACGACCUACGGGUGAAAGCAGGGGACCUUCGGACCUUGCGCGAUUGAAUGAGCCGAUGUCGGAUUAGCUAGUUGGCGGGGUAAAGGCCCACCAAGGCGACGAUCCGUAGCUGGUCUGAGAGGAUGAUCAGCCACACUGGAACUGAGACACGGUCCAGACUCCUACGGGAGGCAGCAGUGGGGAAUAUUGGACAAUGGGCGCAAGCCUGAUCCAGCCAUACCGCGUGGGUGAAGAAGGCCUUCGGGUUGUAAAGCCCUUUUAUUGGGAAAGAAAAGCAGCAGGUUAAUACCCCGCUGUUCUGACGGUACCCAAAGAAUAAGCACCGGCUAACUUCGUG